rnacentral:rRNA from 1 species
AUUGAACGCUGGCGGCAGGCCUAACACAUGCAAGUCGAACGAGAGGCGGACGGGUGAGUAAUGUCUGGGCAACUGCCUGAUGGAGGGGGAUAAGUACUGGGAACGGUAGCUAAUACCGCAUAACAUCCGAUGUGCCCAGAUGGGAUUAGCUAGGUGGUGGGGUAACGGCUCACCAAGGAGAAGAUCCCGAGCUGGUCUGAGAGGAUGACCAGCCACACUGGAACUGAGACACGGUCCAGACUCCUACGGGAGGCAGCAGUGGGGAAUAUUGCACAAUGGGCGCAAGCCUGAUGCAGCCAUGCCGCGUGUAUGAAGAAGGCCUUCGGGUUGUAAAGUACUUUCAGCGGGGAGGCGUUACCCGCAGAAGAAGCACCGGCUAACUCCGUGCCAGCCGCCGCGGUAAUUC